rnacentral:rRNA from 1 species
UACAGAGGGUGCGAGCGUUAAUCGGAAUUACUGGGCGUAAAGAGCGCGCAGGCGGCUGGUCAAGUCCGAUGUGAAAGCUCCCGGCUUAACUGGGAAAUUGCAUCGGAAACUGAUCGGCUGGAAGGUGGGAGAGGGUAGCGGAAUUCCCGGUGUAGUGGUGAAAUGCGUAGAUAUCGGGAGGAACACCAGUGGCGAAAGCGGCUACCUGGCCCAUUCUUGACGCUGAGGCGCGAAAGCUAGGGGAGCAAACGGG